GACAUAGGUGGCGAACGUUAUCCGGAAUCACUGGGCGUAAAGGGCGCGUAGGCGGCCCGCACAAGUCUGCGGUGAAAACCCCCGGCUUAACCGGGGGCCGGCCGUGGAAACUGUCGGGCUAGAGGCCGGGAGAGGGCAGCGGAAUUCCCGGUGUAGCGGUGGAAUGCGUAGAGAUCGGGAGGAACACCGGCGGCGAAGGCGGCUGCCUGGACCGGCCCUGACGCUGAGGCGCGAAAGCUAGGGGAGCAAACAGG
rnacentral:rRNA from 1 species